rnacentral:rRNA from 1 species
GACGAACGCUGGCGGCGUGCCUAAUACAUGCAAGUAGAACGCUGAAGGAGGAGCUUGCUUCUCCGGAUGAGUUGCGAACGGGUGAGUAACGCGUAGGUAACCUGCCCGGUAGCGGGGGAUAACUAUUGGAAACGAUAGCUAAUACCGCAUAAGAGUAGAUGUCGCAUGACAUUUGCUUAAAAGGUGCAACUGCACCACUACCAGAUGGACCUGCGUUGUAUUAGCUAGUUGGUGAGGUAACGGCUCACCAAGGCAACGAUACAUAGCCGACCUGAGAGGGUGAUCGGCCACACUGGGACUGAGACACGGCCCAGACUCCUACGGGAGGCAGCAGUAGGGAAUCUUCGGCAAUGGACGGAAGUCUGACCGAGCAACGCCGCGUGAGUGAAGAAGGUUUUCGGAUCGUAAAGCUCUGUUGUAAGAGAAGAACGAGUGUGAGAGUGGAAAGUUCACACUGUGACGGUAUCUUACCAGAAAGGGACGGCUAACUACGUG